UUAGCUGUUUUUUUCUUCUGGCCUUUCUGUUUCUGAGGCUGAUUAAUGGUUUCAACCUUGUGGUGAAUCCUUUGUAUUUAAUCUCAUGAAGUUUUCUUUUUAUGGCAGACUUAGUUACUGAUACAUCUACUUCCUGGAGAGUCUUCUUCACUGAGUGGAUGUUGUGAAGGUAUUUCUUCACCAUGGAAAGGAUUCUGCGAUCACCACUGUUGUCUUCCGUGGACGUCCAGGCCUCUGAUGAUCUGUUUCACCUCCAUGGAGAGCUCCUCUGACCACAUGUCGUGUGUUCACAGCAACAGCUUCCAAAUGCAAAUGGCUGGAAUCACCUCCAGACCUUUAAACUGCUUAAUUGAUUGUUAUUGUUAUUGUUAUUUAUUUUGCAGUCUUCUGAGUGAAUGGUCCAGUUACUUUUGGUCCCUUGAAAAAGAGGUGGCUACAUAUUAAAGAGCUGUAAUUCCUAAACUCUUGCUCUGGUUUUGAUGUGACUACUUCCAAAUUACAGCUGAGAGUCUGCACCUUGAGACCAUGUUGAUUAUAUAAUUGUAUCCCGAAUAUGUUUUCAUAAAAAAUAAAUGUUUCUGGGCCUGA